AAAUAAACUACGAUUUUGUUUUUAUAUCUCUAGGCCGACAACAAAUACAACUUACACUCUAGUGGCUGUCAUCGUCCAUCUUGGUGAAGUUGAGAAUGGACAUUAUGUUACUUUCAGAAAAGCGAACGAGAACUGGUACCUAGUGUCAGAUGAGAUGACAAGAACUGUCCCGCUAUCACACGUGCUAAAGUCCAAUCCGUACAUGUUAUUUUACCAAAGAACUUUGUUAAAGUGAGACAUAUAUUGUUAUGUUAACAGGAGAAGCUGAUCAACUAUGUCCUGUAGGUAAGAUUAUAUAUUUGGAUACUUAAGGCCUGUUUAAACGGAUCCAACAUUGUUGGACCAACAUCAUCCAACAAUGUUACUAUACUAGAUAUGACCGCUUCUCUUUCAAAUCUUUUUGGUUAGAUAAGCUUUACUCAAACCCUAAACCUAGUCUUGACAAAAUAUUUGAAAAAGAAGCCGUUUGAGCCAUUAUUUCAACAAUGUUGGAUGAUGUUGGCCCAACAAUGUUGGAUCCGUUUAAACAGGGCUUUAUAUUGUAUAAACUAUUCUAUUUAUUACCACCAAAUAUAGAUUGCC
rnacentral:lncRNA from 1 species